rnacentral:rRNA from 1 species
UAGGGAAUCUUCGNNAAUGGACGGAAGUCUGACCGAGCAACGCCGCGUGAGUGAAGAGGGUUUUCGGAUCGUAAAGCUCUGUUGUAAGAGAAGAACGAGUGUGAGAGUGGAAAGUUCACACUGUGACGGUAUCUUACCAGAAAGGGACGGCUAACUACGUGCCAGCAGCCGCGGGUAAUACGUAGGUCCCGAGCGUUGUCCGGAUUUAUUGGGCGUAAAGCGAGCGCAGGCGGUUAGAUAAGUCUGAAGUUAAAGGCUGUGGCUUAACCAUAGUACGCUUUGGAAACUGUUUAACUUGAGUGCAAGAGGGGAGAGUGGAAUUCCAUGUGUAGCGGUGAAAUGCGUAGAUAUAUGGAGGAACACCGGUGGCGAAAGCGGCUCUCUGGCUUGUAACUGACGCUGAGGCUCGAAAGCGUGGGGAGCAAACAGGAUUAGAUACCCUGGUAGUCCACGCCGUAAACGAUGAGUGCUAGGUGUUAGACCCUUUCCGGGGUUUAGUGCCGCAGCUAACGCAUUAAGCACUCCGCCUGGGGAGUACGACCGCNAGGUUG